UACGUGAGGGUGCAAGCGUUGUCCGGAAUUAUUGGGCGUAAAGAGCUCGUAGGCGGUCUGUCGCGUCGGCUGUGAAAACCCGGGGCUCAACCCCGGGCCUGCAGUCGAUACGGGCAGACUAGAGUGUGGUAGGGGAGACUGGAAUUCCUGGUGUAGCGGUGAAAUGCGCAGAUAUCAGGAGGAACACCGGUGGCGAAGGCGGGUCUCUGGGCCGAUAUCGACGCUGAGGAGCGAAAGCGUGGGGAGCGAACAGG
rnacentral:rRNA from 1 species